GACGAACGCUGGCGGCGUGCUUAACACAUGCAAGUCGAACGGUAACAGGUUAAGCUGACGAGUGGCAAACGGGUGAGUAAUGCAUCGGAACGUGCCCGAUCGUGGGGGAUAACGCAGCGAAAGCUGCGCUAAUACCGCAUACGAUCUGAGGAUGAAAGCGGGGGACCGUAAGGCCUCGCGCGAUCGGAGCGGCCGAUGUCAGAUUAGGUAGUUGGUGGGGUAAAGGCGCACCAAGGCAACGAUCAGUAGGGGUUCUGAGAGGAAGGUCCCCCACGUUGGAACUGAAGAACGGUCCAAACUCCUACGGGAGGCAGCAGUGAGGAAUAUUGGUCAAUGGGCGGAAGCCUGAACCAGCCAAGUAGCGUGCAGGAUGACGGCCCUAUGGGUUGUAAACUGCUUUUAUACAGGAAUAAAGUUAGCCACGUGUGGUUAUUUGUAGGUACUGUAUGAAUAAGGACCGGCUAAUUCCGUGCCAGCCGCCGCAGUAA
rnacentral:rRNA from 1 species